UAUAUGGGACGGUUAUAAAGUGUACAUAUGGUAUAUUGUUUUGGCGAUAUUUGUUAAACGUCCCCAUAGACACUUUAGGGUACGAUUUUGAAUUGAUGCACUAUUUCUGAUAAAAGGCUACGCUUGUCAUAUGUUGUCUAAAACACAGAAUUAAAGACACAGCUUGCAAAUUACGCAAUUAUCCUUACAUUAUUUUGAAAACACGAAUUUGCCCUCCUCUAGGUUUCUUUCCUUACACCAUCUCCUGCAUCUUCUCACUCUGAUUUCACGAGUCACGACGACGACCCUCAUCUUACGCCUUUUCUCUUCAAACAACAGAAAAAUCUAAAAUCAACAAUUUCAUCUACUUCGAUUGUGAUUCAUGUUGCUUAGUUUCACUGCUUAUAUAGUGAUUCACGAUCCACAAUUUCAUCUUGCUUCAACUCGUGAGUCACGAUCCACAAUGUCGUCUUCUUCGUGAGUCACGAUUCUCAGUUUCCCCUAAGAACAUGUUUCCUCCUCUUUCUGCAAGCUUCGAGUCUUUUAAUCGUCGAAGCCUAAUCCCAAAUCUCGAAUCUGGCAUUAAACUUACAAUCGAAACAGAACGUGACCUAGAUGAACCCUAAUUUGGUUUUUCAGCUUCCAAUCGAAGCUAAUAGGAUAAAAAAAGUGUUACAAAAAGGAUGAAGAAUGUUGUAGCAAAAGGAAUUGCUUGAUUAAUGAAGCUACAGAGAUCUAUAAAUUGAAGGAGGAAGCAAAGAAGAUUGAAUAUUGAAGCAGCAAUGAUAGCCAAGACAAAUGAGGUAACAUGCUGAUAUUGUGGUAAUGUUCCUUUAUUUUAAGCCUUUUACAACCGUAAAUGUAAGUAAUGACCAAGCCCCUAUUUGUGAAAUCACUAGAGUUGAGCUUUUGAUUUUGGUGACUGGUCAUAUAUGUUUAUUAGGCAUGGAAUGGUAUUGUGGAUGUAAUUGAUGAUUGAGUUCAUAUUUGUAACAGUGUUGGUAUUGGUUUGUAGACAUAUUAUAAAUUGUUUGAAUUAUGAAUGAUAAAGAAUGCUAAUUUGCAUGAUAAUUAUGAAGGAUUUGACAGUGUUGGUAUUAUUACCCUUAUUGGCAAGACUAGGACAAUCUGGUGCUUCAAAUAGAAUUUCCUAAUGACUGUUUUUGGUUAUAGUAUGAUAUCAUUGAAAAAUUAAAUUGGGGGUCAAGAAAGUGUAAGGUUGUUCUAAGUGUAAUGCAGCCUAAUUUGGUGUUAUCUUAUGGUAAUGUGAAAAGUUUUUAUCAUGAGCAUUUCAGUUAGAUUUGUGUGGUGUAGAGAGGUUAAAUGCAAAUGUCGAUAUAGACAAUUAACCAAAGUUGAUUAUGCAGGUUCGGCUUAUGUGCUGUGUAGAGGCUUAUUAUAUGAUGUGAAUUAUUUUGAUUCAAGGAGAAUUUACAUAUGGUGUGUGAUGCUGCAAGAUGUUUUAUGCAGGUUCCAGGGUGAAAAUGGUCUUCAGUGGCACAACCUGAAUCACCGUUGAGAUUGAGAGAGAGUUGCGUAAACUUUAGUAGAGUCAGAGGAAUAGCUAAGAGUUGCUUCACUAUAUGAUUGGUAGAACUGGAAGAAUAUACAAAAGCUGAUACUACUUAACGAAAGAGGGAGGAUCAACCCCUUUGUGACACAUUCAUUUUAGAAGAACUUGUAUCUAUAAAUUAUUGUAGUGUCUACAAGUUUAAUGUAGAGCCCUCCUAUAUGAAUGAAUAUUGAAAUAUGUACAUUUGUGUAAUUUUAUAAACAUUUGAAUAAAAUAGUUCAUAUAUAUAUAUUU